rnacentral:rRNA from 1 species
AUGGCGUCUCGUCUGCUUGCGGCGGCCUCCUCCUCCUCCGCCUCCUCCUCCCCCCUCGCCCGCCUCAUCUCCAGCCGCCGUAUGGCCGGCGCCGCAGAUCACCACGGAUCGACCAAGGUGAACAUGUGGCAGGAGCCCUUGAACCCCGGCAACUGGAAGGAAGAGCACCUCUCAUGGCUCAUCCACUGGCAUGAAGUCUACAAGUCCAAAUGUAAUUAUUUUUAUUUAAUCUCCCUCUUGUUAGUAAUUACAGAACUACUACAGUUUGUGCUAGCCAGCUUAGCUAUGUGGGGCGCUAUUAUAUAUGGUGGAUUGAAGGCAUUUGGUGGGAAAAAAGAAGUGAAAACAGAGUCGUGCAAGAAUUUUUCAAGGAUUAUUUUGGUAGUUACCAAUACAUGA